GUUAUUCGGGUGAAUUGAGUAGCUUGAUGACCAUGUUGCCGGUCCCAAGCCCGGAUAAAGGAGGAGGGUUUCCAGGUGAGGUUAGGGUCCUGCCUGGUGUAAAUAUUCUUCAGCCCAUAGACCCGUAAACUUGACUCAGAACAGUCUUCUCUACAAACUCGAGCAUUUUGGCAUUAGAGGUUGUUUUGUUUUGGCUUGGCUCCGUUCGUUCAUCAAUGACAGGUAUUUUUCGGUUAGAGUGGGUGAUUCUUUUUCGGAUAUCAAGGCGAUUAUUAGUGGAGUUCCUCAGGGCUCUGUUCUGGGUCUGCUUCUUUUUCUGGUUUACGUUCCAUAUCUCCCAUACUUACUUUGGGCAUUCUGCUCUCAAUACGCAGACGAUAUCAAAUUAUUUUAUGAUGCGCGCUUUCCUGAUGUCCUUCGAGGUGACUUGGUGCGGUUGAAAAGGUAGUGUCACCAAUGGCUCUUCCCUCUAAACGUGGAUAAAUAUAAGUUCCUUUAUCUUGGUAGAUACAACCCGAGGCAUCAAUACUUUUCUGAUGGCCGUGUUCUGGAUUCAUUCACGCAGCAUAAUGACCAUGGUGUCAUCAUUACAGAGGAUCUCUUCUGGUCUGACCAUGUGGUUAAUUUAGUCUCUAGAGCCAGUAAGAUGUUGUACCUGAUACAACGCGUGUUUCCCAGAUGUUCGAUUGUCACUUGCAGGCAGCUUUAUAUAACAUACAUCCGACCAAUUCUCGAACACGCCGGCCCCACGUGGUCUUCUCACCUGAUUUGUGAUCAGCAACGUUUGGAGAGAAUACAGCGCUCUGCAACCAGUAUUCCUUUUGGACGAGUUCGACCUUCUCACGAGGAGUGACUACAAAUGUUCCGGUUGAGUAGUUUUAAUGACCGUCGUGACUUGAUUGUGACAUAUCGCAUCUUGAACAAUUUUAUUGGUGGUGAUCUCGCUGACAUCUUUAUGAUGAACGAUAAUCAUCUCCGGGGCUACCGGUAUAAGUUGUACCAUGAGCUGUUUCGUACACGUGCGAGAGUUUUUUGCCGAAUUGGGUAUUCGGUAGGUGGAACACUUCAACAGGGAGUGUCGUGGGUGCUGAGAGUGUGAAUUCGUUCAAAAACAGACUAGACUCCAAUUUUGCUUAGAUUGUUUUUUUUGUUAUCUUAUAGAUAAGUCUCAUUUUUUGAUAAUUGAAAGCGCUAACUCUAUCUGCGACGAAUCAUAAUCCACACUUGAAUACUUAGAAGUCUAAUUUUUGAUCAUUUGAAGCGCUCACUCUAUCUCCAAGCUUGGUGCGUUUUCUGUUAGGGUUCUCAACAAGAUUUUGAAACCAUUGAAAACAGUUAAAUCUUUUGGGUUAUAUGUUGAUUCUCGAUUGAAAUUCUGAAAUCAUGUCUCUGCUUACAUCAAGAGAGCCUUUUUAUCCCUCAGACUUAUUUAUAGAAGUCGGAAUUUUCUUCAUCAAUGUAUAAAAAUUAUGCUCUGUGAUCAACUAUUCUUAUCAUAUUUUAAUUUCUUUGUUGUUGUUUACAGCCCCUUUCUUGAUGUGAUCGACUCAGGGUGUAUAAAGACUGUUCCAACCUCCGGCUUCAUUAAUUUUAUAGCUUGAAGUCAUUUUCUUUGCUAUAUGUUUCAGAUACAUCCUAGUAGGCAUCACCUGGUCCUGGAUUGCGAUGAUUCUACCUUCUGUUUCCGGGAAGAGUAUUUUCCAGGUGGCUAGGGUACCUGCCAUGGAGUGCCUUGGAUUUCCAUUCCGAUAUUAGUUCCUAAUUUGUUUUUAUGGGAGGCAGUUGGUGAUCACGUUGGGCCAAACUGAGUGCUGAGAUGUUUUCGUCAGCCUCACACAAAGCCUGGAAAAGAGGUACAUCCUAGUAGGCAUCACUUGGUACUAGAUUGCGAUGAUUCUACCUUCUGUUUCUGGAAAGAGGUGGCUAGGGUACUUGCCAUGGAGGGCCUUGGAUUUCCAUUCCGAUAUUAGUUCCUCAGUUGUUUUUAUGGGAGGCAGUUGGUGAUCACUUUGAGCCAAAUUGAGUGCUGAGAUGUUUUUGUCAGCAUCACAAAAAGCCUGAAAAAGAGGUGCAUCCUAGUAGGCAUCACCUGGUCCUGGAUUGCGAUGAUUCUACCUUCUGUUUCCGGGAAGAGGUGGCUAGGGUACCUGCCAUGGAGUGCCUUGGAUUUCCAUUCCGAUAUUAGUUCCUAAUUUGUUUUUAUGGGAGGCAGUUGGUGAUCACGUUGGGCCAAAUUGAGUGCUGAGAUGUUUUCGUCAGCCUCACACAAAGCCUGGAAAAGAGGUACAUCCUAGUAGGCAUCACUUGGUACUAGAUUGCGAUGAUUCUACCUUCUGUUUCUGGAAAGAGGUGGCUAGGGUACUUGCCAUGGAGGGCCUUGGAUUUCCAUUCCGAUAUUAGUUCCUCAGUUGUUUUUAUGGGAGGCAGUUGGUGAUCACUUUGAGCCAAAUUGAGUGCUGAGAUGUUUUUGUCAGCAUCACAAAAAGCCUGAAAAAGAGGUGCAUCCUAGUAGGCAUCACCUGGUCCUGGAUUGCGAUGAUUCUACCUUCUGUUUCCGGGAAGAGGUGGCUAGGGUACCUGCCAUGGAGUGCCUUGGAUUUCCAUUCCGAUAUUAGUUCCUAAUUUGUUUUUAUGGGAGGCAGUUGGUGAUCACGUUGGGCCAAAUUGAGUGCUGAGAUGUUUUCGUCAGCCUCACACAAAGCCUGGAAAAGAGGUACAUCCUAGUAGGCAUCACUUGGUACUAGAUUGCGAUGAUUCUACCUUCUGUUUCUGGAAAGAGGUGGCUAGGGUACUUGCCAUGGAGGGCCUUGGAUUUCCAUCC